GGCGCAUCUGUUUUGAGAUGGACGUUGAGAGGUGACUCAAAUUUUUUUGCAGAAAUUGCUUGAAAACAAAUCAAAUAAUAAUAUUUGAGUUA